CAGAGUUAUAAAACUCCUCAACCCUUGUGAACAUACCUUAAACGUUGCUUCGGCGGGAAUGGCCGGCCCUAACAACGGGCCGCACCCCGCCAGAGGUAUACCUAACUCUUGUAUUUAUAAUGUUUUCUCUGAGUUAAAGCUUAAAUAAUUCA
rnacentral:misc_RNA from 1 species